UACGGAGGGGGCUAGCGUUGUUCGGAAUUACUGGGCGUAAAGCGCACGUAGGCGGCUUUGUAAGUUAGAGGUGAAAGCCCAGGGCUUAACCCUGGAAUUGCCUUUAAGACUGCAUCGCUCGAAUUGUGGAGAGGUGAGUGGAAUUCCGAGUGUAGAGGUGAAAUUCGUAGAUAUUCGGAAGAACACCAGUGGCGAAGGCGACUCACUGGACACAUAUUGACGCUGAGACGCGAAAGCGUGGGGAGCGAACAGG
rnacentral:rRNA from 1 species